rnacentral:lncRNA from 1 species
GGUUGGAUUAUAUCACUAUUUUGGAUUGUUUGGUUGUCUUUCUUUGGAUAUCUGGGAUAUUUAUAUUGGUUGCAUAUUUGAUUGCUUUGGGAUUUUCUUUUCUUUUCAUUGCCUUUGGUUGCUUCUAUCUCAAAUGUACUGCCAUUAUUUGUGUUUCUUUUGUUUGCCUUUGGUUGCUUCAUUUUUCUUUUAUUUUUAUUUUUUAUUCUUAUGUCUCCAUAUGUUUAAAUAUUGCGCAAUUAUUCCCCUAGUUUUUCAAGCAUGUAUUCUUUUUUUAUAUUACAAAAAAAGGGAGAAAAUGUAAAAUUUCCAUCAAAAUAAUUUCUUUCAACUUAAUCUUAAAGCCAAAUUCUU